GGAGGGGGUGGGCAUUUUGCGACACGUGUCAAUGCGCUGAGACGUCUGUGUAUGUCACGUAAUUUUUUCAUGCGCGUCGCUUUGAUCUUUUCCUGAUUCUUCUAUUUGAGUUUCCCUUAUCUUUUUUAAAAAGGCCCACAUAAGCUCAUAUUCUGAUUUCUUCUUCGUUCUUCUCUUGCGGCGGAUGCUUUACCGUCAAAUUUUCACAGAAACUAAACAGUCCCUUUGCUACCUGUAACUCCUCUCAACUCCUUAAAUCCAACAUUUAUUUUGAGUUUUUCACUUGAUUAAUCCACUCAUCCUUCAUUAAGAUCUGUGUGCACCUGUUCGUUUCCCUUGAAACCGCUUUCAUCCUCUCCGACAUUCAUCUGUACUCGAUUUUGGGAAGCCCGUAAUGGGAAGAAUGGAGGAGAGCUGAUGGGGAUUGACUUGCUCUUUCUUGAAGAAAAGGCAGAGAGAGAGAAGAGUCUGCUAAGAUAGAGAUGUGAGGCAUCAGGACUUCAAGGCGGCGAAGUUUGCGCUCUUCCGUUGAAUAUAUUCACUUACAAGAAAAUCUGCAACGGUGCUUCUGCUCAAGCGUCGAGGCACCAACGUCUCCAUGUACAUCAGAUACAAUACUUUUGUUCUUUCAGUGUGGAGAAGCAUAUACUCUUAUCGCUCAAAUCUAUCAAAGUUUUUCCUAACGUUAUGUAAGUAUUAUUUCUGUCGCAUACUCUCCUAUCAAUUUGUUUUUCUUCUUAAACAUAAUUGCAUUUGUUGAUCACAACCAACAAGAGACUGGUAUCGCCUGUGUUUCUCCAUCAUUACUCGGUCAUAAAUCUGCUUGCAAGGAAAAGCCUUCGACCCCUCCUCAUCCUACCAACGGCAGAUCAUCUUUGUGUUAUCUUAUUUAUGCUUUACUGCUCGCCGAUGAGGCGAUGACUAUACCACUCACUGGAAACAGCAACAUCAAGCCUCUGAACGUGUCCCAAGCUCUCACUACUGGCCUCCUGCAAUUUCUUUUGAAGCUCAUGUGCACAAGACCAAUGAGAAAUGCUUCUUUGAACCCCUUUCGAUAUGGCAGAACUCCUAGAGUACUCACUCACUCAUUUAAAGCUAAGCGACACGCAAAGCUAAGCGAUAAAAAAUUGCCUGUAACACGCUUUAUAAAAACUUACGAUAGAUAAUAAAAAUGUAUUGGUUACCUAAACCAAAGACUACUAAAAUAUUUGAAUAUUUAAUUUAUUUUCUCA